UACAGAGACGUCGAGCGUUGUUCGGAUUCAUUGGGCGUAAAGGGUGCGUAGGCGGUGAGGUAAGUUGGAUGUGAAAUCUCAGGGCCUAACCCUGAAAGUGCAUCCAAAACUGCCUUGCUUGAGGACUGGAGGGGAGACUGGAAUUCUCGGUGUAGCGGUGAAAUGCGUAGAUAUCUGGAGGAACACCGGUGGCGAAGGCGGCAUCCUGGACCGGCAUUGACGCUGAGGAGCGAAAGCCAGGGGAGCAAACGGG
rnacentral:rRNA from 1 species